rnacentral:rRNA from 1 species
UACGAAGGGGGGCUAGCGUUGCUCGGAAUGACUGGGCGUAAAGGGCGCGUAGACGGACGGCUUUGUCGGGCGUGAAAUUCCAGGGCUUAACCUUGGGGCUGCGUUCGAGACGGGUUGUCUAGAGUUUGGAAGAGGGUCGUGGAAUUCCCAGUGUAGAGGUGAAAUUCGUAGAUAUUGGGAAGAACACCGGUGGCGAAGGCGGCGACCUGGUCCUUGACUGACGCUGAGGCGCGAAAGCAUGGGGAGCGAACAGG